rnacentral:rRNA from 1 species
GACGAACGCUGGCGGCGUGCCUAAUACAUGCAAGUCGAACGAGAGCGACCGGUGCUUGCACUGGUCAAUCUAGUGGCGAACGGGUGAGUAACACGUGGGUAACCUGCCCAUCAGAGGGGGAUAACAUCCGGAAACGGAUGCUAAAACCGCAUAGGUCUUCGAGCCGCAUGGCUUGAAGAGGAAAAGAGGCGCAAGCUUCUGCUGAUGGAUGGACCCGCGGUGCAUUAGCUAGUUGGUGAGGUAACGGCUCACCAAGGCCGUGAUGCAUAGCCGACCUGAGAGGGUGAUCGGCCACAUUGGGACUGAGACACGGCCCAAACUCCGACGGGAGGCAGCAGUAGGGAAUCUUCCGCAAUGGACGCAAGUCUGACGGAGCAACGCCGCGUGAGUGAAGAAGGUUUUCGGAUCGUAAAACGCUGUUGUUAGAGAAGAACAAGUGCUAGAGUAACUGUUAGCGCCUUGACGGUAUCUAACCAGAAAGCCACGGCUAACUACGU